rnacentral:lncRNA from 1 species
AAAUACAGUCCUCGCGGCGGAACUCCGGAAAGUACCAUACUCUGAGGUUCAGGGAGAUCCGGUUAUACUACUUGGACCAACCCACCUGGUUGCUGCGCCGGAUAGUUUCAGGGAUUUUUCCAAAAACGCACAGCCUUAAAAGCUCCUGGCGGUGCUCAGAAGGUACUUCCGGUUCUGCACGCCACUGAUUUUUUUUUUUUCUCUCCCGUGGCGCGGACCGACAAGCAGAACAGGAAGUAAGAUCAGAUCGUGAUGUAACUGACUUGAUUAUGCUUUGCCUGAGUCCCACUGAACGGGAUUCCACUUCACUGUGCUUUGGACAAAUGGCUGAGGAAGCAAUGGAAGGGAAGAAAUGUUUGUCGCUGCUCUUGGGUUUAGUGUUCAGCCCGUCACUGCAAGAAGAGGUCAUGGGGGGAGGAGCCUGGGGCUGAUGGUCACACGGUCUGAAGUAUCAAGGGGAGAGUGACAAGGUCAUUUUCUCUUCACCUAGCUUUCUCCUAAUUGUCUAGUCACGGAUCCCGCUUUCAAGGCGUGUCUUCUCACCUCACUUAACCUCACACAGAUCAUUCCUUACUGAUGCAUCCAGAGGCUGACCCAUCUAAAUGAUCCUCAUAGUCAAGGCUAGAGGCUCCUCUGCCAGGGAAUUCUAGGCCCUGCCAAGCUGACAAUAUCACAAACGCGUUUGCUAAGAUACUAGAAACUUGAAAGUGUAUAAGUAAUAACUAACGGUAAUUGUAAUAAAUAGCAAUAAAUAACUGG